rnacentral:lncRNA from 1 species
GCGGACAUGGAGUGAGUCACAUACUCAGGUGACUUCUUGUGAACCAAUCCCCUAAUGAGUAAAGGAGUCAAUCACUGGGCGAGUAGGAGGGACUUCCGGGUUGGAUGGCGGAAGAGAGGAAGCAGGAAAGAGUUAUGUCUUUUUGGAUAGGGAUACGUGAGGACAAGAUAUAGCUACUAGAGUCUCCCGGUUUCAAUGGCGGGGCUCAUCUGGGUUCAAGAGAGAAAGGUAGAACUUUGCAUGGGGACACGGCAUACCACGAUAAAGGACUCGAAGAGACCGCCUUUACAACUCCAGGGAAAGCUGUUGACACAGACUCCUGGUUCUGCUUGACAUCUUUCUUCUCAGGUAGGAGGGAGGGCAGAACUCAAGUCAGUCUUGACGUAGUAAGAUCUGCAGGGCAGUGGUUGGACCACAUGCAUCUCUGUGAAGCUCAAUAAGCAAACUCAGGAGCAAUCCUGGUUGUAGCUGAACAUGCAAUGGAGAAAAGCAAAUAAAGAUAGAAGGCAAAACAAAAAUACAAUGGAAAGCAAAAAAAUAGUGGAUAGAAGAAAUGGGGCAGCAGGCUCACAAAUCGAAAUGAAGGGAAGAAAACCACUCAGGAACUAAAACAAGGUCUCUGAAAGUUGUGCAGGAUUAGGAAAGCUGGACUAGGGAAAAGCAAGUUACGGAGAGUCGUCAUUUAUGAACUUCACAUGAACUAUGCACGUAGGGCACGUAAGAAUAAUUAUCCUGUGACUUUCACAUGUUUGUGGUGGCACGGGUGUGUAACCACACAGAACUCAUGUCAAGUUCCCAUCCUUUUUGAUCAACACCGAGAGUUAAGCAAUCAAUGGUGGAUCGGGGAAACAGCCUGUAGAAAACAGAGGAACUGAGUUUAUUGGUGAGUCAAGGAUAAGCGGGUUCCACGUCUCAACUUAUGAAAAACACUAGCAGCAAGGGCUCACGUCUUUUGCUUUCUUUCAUGUUAAAUGAAAUUCCAAAGUGAUUUUUAGAUGCAGCCACAACGCGACCUUAUAGAAAGAUCUUGAAAUCCGACGUAAAGACCUUUUCUAUUGGUGAAGGCAGCCAUGCGACCGAGGAAUAAAAUUACGUUCGGCUGGAAACAGGGACUGAAGCGGUUUGUCCUCCCUAAGACGUUUCUAGCAAACGCAGGAGUUGGACGGCCUUGUCUGUAAUGUGCUGACCGUCCACCUAGGGACAAUGUGACCAUUUGGUUUUUGGCUGCUAUCUGAAAUGAGUUUGAGUGUCUCAGCUCAUUUCAUGAGAAACACUAGAAGCUCCUGGACUUCCAGACCGGCUCCAGUGGAGUCACGGGAAGGAAGAAGAGGAAAUUGUAAACCACGAGGCAUCAUGCCAGAGGAAAUGCCUCCGGUGACCCAGACUGAAUGCCCUAUGGUCUCAAAGACCCCACAUUCAAACUGCACGAUGUCUGGGUGUGCUUGACUCCAAGUCUCAGGCAGGGGCUAUCCUCUGUCUCUGCUUUUCCAUACCAUGCUCUCUGCUGUAUAUCUUCCUUAAGCUGCGUAAUAAAGAAUGA